rnacentral:rRNA from 1 species
UGGUUGAUCCUGCCAGUUAUGAUAGGCUUGUCUCAAGGACUAAGCCAUGCAUGCCUAAGUUCAUACCAUAUAAAGGUGAAACUGCGAAUCGCUCAGUAAAUCAGUUAUCGUUUCUUUGAUUGUACCGAGAUGCUGCCUUCACCGGCAGUGUCACACAUUGGAUAACUCUGGGAAACUAGAGCUAAUACAUGUCAACUGCUAUCUCGGGGUAGCGUGCAUUUGUUCGCUUGACAAAACCAACACUGACCGAUCUAAGCGUUGUGGCUGGUUGCUGGCUACUGCGUGCAAACGUGUGUCCGGUUCUCAGCUGUGGCGUUCACGGGUCGGCCACGUACACGGUGAAUCUGAAUAACUGAUGCUGAUCGUACAGGGCCACUGUGCCCACGAUAUUUCAAUCAAAUUUCUGCCCUAUCAUAUUUGUUGGUAGAGUAGCGGCCUACCAAGGUGAUGACGGGUAACGGGGAAUCAGGGUUCGAUUCCGGAGAGGGAGCCUGAGAAAUAGCUACCACGUCCAAGGAUGGCAGCAGGCGCGCAAACUAUCCAAUCCAGAUACUGGGAGAUGGUGACGAGACAUAUUGGGACUCACCAGCACCGCUGGUCGAGUUACCAGAUAGACUACAACCUAAAACAGUGCUAAAACAAUCAACAGGAGGGCAAGUCUGGUGCCAGCAGCCGCGGUAAUACCAGCUCCUGUGGCCUAUAUGGUCGUUGUUGCGGUUAAAAAGCUCGUAGUUGAAAUACGGUGCGCUCGAGAGCCGUAUCGGUGGUAAGCCUGCCCAGGGUGAACACCGCGCCACGAGUGUGCAGUGGUGCCGUCGUGCGUGUGUGUGGCUCCGGUGUGUGUCAAAACACACCACCACACCGCGCGCGCAAUGGUCCUGUGUGCCGUGCGCUGGUGCCUGUGAUGCAGUGUUGUAGUCUGGCGUGCCCGUGCCCAGGUGGGUGAUGUGCGCGCGGGGUGCUGUGCCUUGACGUGUGCACGAAAGUGUGUGCGUCUUGGUGUGGUGGCCCGCGUGUGCCUCUCAUCUGCCUGCGAGUGUCGGCGUCAGGCUAUUUUAUCGUCGAGACGGCAUUAGAGCGUGCUUUCUCGUCCGGCUUCAGUGAGAAUUUACCCUUCACUGGGUACACUGAACGCCGGGCGAAUUGUGCCUUGAGUAAAAUAGAGUGCUCAAAGCAGGCUAGACAUGUAACAGUGUCAUUGCCCGUAUACUCCAGCAUGGAACGAAUGUCCAAUUGCUUGAACCACCCUGCGACCUGGUUAGUUGGUUGAGUGUGUGAAUGCUCAGUGUGCAGGGCAAGUGCUCGCGUACGUCGCGGGAGAUGCUGCCUUGUGUGCGCCAGGUCGUAUCCGUGGGAGUGUGUACCCAGUAAAUGUGCGUGCAACAUGUGCGUGCAAUGCGAGCACAGCGUUCGGGAAUAAAACUGUGUCGUGUCUCUCUCACACACACCGUGUGUGAUGAUGAUGAUGUGAUGCAGCCCGUGUGUGCGCUGUGACAGUAUAUGAAGGUGCGUUUGUGCUGCAGUGCGUGUGUGCAUCUCUGCAUGAUCUACCGGCCGCGUGUGUCCAUGUGUUGUGCCACCGAGUGCGUGGCUUCACUUGGGGGCAUUGGAACCAGCCUUGGAGUGCAUCAUCCCAUCUCACUCCCGAGCGCGCAUGUGUAUUCCACAUCACUCGGGCUACGUGCAGGUGGGCCUCCCGGGCCCAGUGACCCACCAGUGGCCAUUUUACCCGUCUCAUGCUCUCACGAGUGUGUGCGUGGCGUGCUCUGUGUGUGUGCGCGCAUGAUAUAAGGCACCGUGCGGCAACACACCACCCUCGUUGGUGGGUUGUUGUUGUCACGCGUCUCUCAGCCAGUCUGUGAGAGCGUGUGUGGUGCAUGUGAAAUAAACAACAGGGAUGUGUGCGUGCCUGUGUGUAACACUCACGCAUUCUUCAUCAUCAAUCUCUCGCCCUGGGAUCGAUGCCGCUCCCACGUAUGGGUAUCGGUUAACAGAAACAUUUGGGGGCAUUGGUAUUUGGCCGCGAGAGGUGAAAUUCUAAGACCGGCCAAAGACUGACGAUUGCGAAGGCAUUUGCCAAAGAUGCGUUCAUUAAUCAAGAACUAAGGUUGGUGGAUCGAAGACGAUUAGAUACCGUCGUAGUACCAACUGUAAACUAUGCCAACCAGGGCUCAGGCCGGAUCGUAUAUAUUGUGCUGCUGCACCAACGUGUGCCGGCACAUAUUGCAUUGAUCCAGGUUGGGCCCCCCGGGAAACCUAAAGUGUUUGGGUUCCGGGGGGAGUAUGGUUGCAAGGCUGAAACUUAAAGGAAUUGACGGAAGGGCACCACCAGGAGUGGAGCCUGCGGCCUAAUUUGACUCAACACGGGGAAUCUCACCAGGUCCGGACAUCGGAAGGAUUGACAGACUGAUAGAUCUUUCAUGAUUCGGUGAAUGGUGGUGCAUGGCCGUUCUUGGUUGGUGGAGUGAUUUGUCUGGUUUAUUCCGUGAACGAGCGCAACCACAGCCUCUAUUUUGGCCGUACGAAGUGACAACGCGUGUGCGUGUUUGCAAAAAUGCGUGUGCGCGAGCACGUGUGGUGGUGGCGCAAGCUGCUGCUGCAUGUGCAUGCCAUCGGCUGUGCUGGUGCGUUAGUCUCCGUGUGGCAUCUUCUCCACACACACGUCAUCUAUGGUGGUUGGCCGUAUGCUCAACGGACGGGGAAUCGCUGGUGCAUAUUCCAAACGGGGCAGUGUCUGAUCGGCGAUGUCGCUGGCAGCGCACCCAGGUGGCAAUCGUGAUGAAUUGUCAUAUUCUGGCGCUGUACAGUCGUCGGUAGUGUGGUGCUGCUCCGGUGUAUCGGUGCCUCGCCCGUUGGGUGGUCAAUUGGCCUUGAUGAUGAUGCGUGGAGACAGCUGCUGUGCGGGGAUGUGCCGGUGUUUUGGUCGAUGCGUGUUCGUGCGCCUUCAUAGAGGGACUACCGGUGGCAAGCCGGGGGAAGUGUGACGAUAGCAGGUCAGUGAUGCCCUUAGAUGUUCUGGGCUGCACGCGCGCUACAAUGGCGACGUCAAUGAGUUUUCUGCAUCGAAAGAUGUGGGUAAUCUGUCAAUCGUCGCCGUGCUGGGGAUUGAGCCUUGAAAUUAUUGCUCAUGAACCUGGAAUUCCUCGUAAGUACGAGUCACCAGCUCGUGCUGAAUACGUCUCUGCCCUUUGUACACACCGCCCGUCGCUACUACCGAUUGAAUGAUUCGAUGAGGGCAAGGGAUUGAUCGGUCUCACUGUCUGUAGACUGGUCGAGAGCCUGUCCAAGUUGCAUCAGUCAGAGAAG